rnacentral:rRNA from 1 species
AACGAACGCUGGCGGCAUGCCUAACACAUGCAAGUCGAACGAGACCUUCGGGUCUAGUGGCGCACGGGUGCGUAACGCGUGGGAACCUGCCCUUAGGUUCGGAAUAACUCCCCGAAAGGGGUGCUAAUACCGGAUAAUGUCUUCGGACCAAAGAUUUAUCGCCUUUGGAUGGGCCCGCGUUGGAUUAGCUAGUUGGUAGGGUAAAAGCCUACCAAGGCGACGAUCCAUAGCUGGUCUGAGAGGAUGAUCAGCCACACUGGGACUGAGACACGGCCCAGACUCCGACGGGAAGCAGCAGUGGGGAAUAUUGGACAAUGGGCGAAAGCCUGAUCCAGCAAUGCCGCGUGAGUGAUGAAGGCCUUAGGGUUGUAAAGCUCUUUUACCCGGGAUGAUAAUGACAGUACCGGGAGAAUAAGCUCCGGCUAACUCCGUG